CUUCGGGGCAAUAAGAAUAAAAAAGGAAUGAAGGCCCAUAAGCUGCAGAUAUUUAACACAUAAAUGUGCUAUUUAUAAGCAACAAAUUUUUGCACUCCAGAAUUUUAAGAACUUUAAAAUAUCAUCUCAUCUUUCCUGGCUUUCAUGUGCUCCGUGAUAACUUGAUUAGCCCAAGGAAGAAGAAGAGAUAUCUGAGUGGCCUGGACAUGGCAUGUAAAAAUGACUCAGCCAACAGCUGGAAAGAAGCUGCUGGCCUUCAGGUCACAAGAUGUACAUUGCUGGCCCCAGCUAGAUUUUCCCAGGGUCAGGUGCCCAUUCCUACCUAAUCAGAGGUAAGGAUGAAGUUGGCCUUCUGUGUGAGCCGGUGGGGGAGGGGAUGAGAUGGUUAAUUUCAUGUGUCAACUCGUCCAGGUUAUGGGGUCAAGUUCUUUGGUCAAACACUAAU
rnacentral:lncRNA from 1 species